AAAAUAUUCAGAUUCUCUCUUUGAAUUCAAGUGUUUCAAAGAUAUCUUAUUUUAAAACACCAAAAUAGGAAUAGAAUAUGAAGGGCUGGUUAUGAGUAAUAUGACACACAUUUAUGAGAAGAUGAGAUUACAAUAACAAUACCUCCUCUCAUAGAAUAGCCAGCAAGUCUCCACUAAAUAACAGUGCCUUGAUUUUAUAGAUGCUUAAUAAUGGAUAUUGAGUUAAUAUGAACCAUUUGUAGACACAGGAGUUUAUUAAAGCAUUAUAUAAUAUCUUUCAAAUAUUUAGAAUAGUGUUGAAAUUAAGCCUGCAUCCCCACGAUUUUCAGAGGUGCUGAUGCCUAAUAAACUCAACCCCUUGCAUGCCAAAAUUGGCUUAAAGCCCACCUGUUACCCAAGCUACACUUCAGGCAUCAAGGUUCAAAAAUGUGAUUUUAAAUAUGCAAGAGUUUGAGGAAUUCACUACUCACACUUUCUUGAACAGUCUAUCCAAGUGCAUCAAGCAAAAUAUGAGUAAAGAAAUUUUGACCAAAGGAUUGAUAGUAAUGUUGAAUACAUUUAAUUGUAGAUCUAAGAUUAAAAGGUGAGAGUGAGGGUGAGAAGAGUGUAUGAAUGCUUUGUAUUCUGACAAAGAGAAUGUAGCACCCAUGUCCUACCUGCUUGGUUGCAUUGCCAGUGCCCACGGUAGGCCAUUUUAUCCAGGUUAUUAGGUUUUGUUUUGUUUUCUUCUUUUCAGGAGAGUUAGUCCAAGACCAAUAACUACAUAACUGGUAGAAUUGGAAGACUUUAAUAGUGCUUAACAUUUUGUACUUAGCUUUAUAAUGGUUUUCUUUUUCUUUUUUUCUGAGAGAUUCUUUUCAAUAUACCCCAUCAUGGUUCAACUCAAAAGUCAUUGCUUAUUUAAAAUCUACAACUGCUGACGUUUUGUAACCUUCGCAUUCCAGAUACAACAGAGAAAUGCAUAAUGUCCAGUCAAUUUAUUAAAGUUCCAAAGUCGGUCGCGCGCAGUGGCUCACGCCUGUAAUCUCAACACUUCGGGAGGCCGAGGCGUGUGGAUCACGAGGUCAGGAGUUGGAGACUAGCCUGACCAACAUGGUGAAACCCCGUCUCUACUAAAAAUACAAAAAUUAGCCCAGGCAUGGUGGCACGCGGCUGUGAUCCCCGCUACUCAGGCGGCUGAGGCAGGAGAAUUGCUUGAACCUGGGAGGCAGAGGUUGCAGUGAGCAGAGAUGGCGCCACCGCACUCCAGCCUGGGAGAAAGAGUGAGUGAGACUCCUUCUCAAAAAAAAAAAAAAAAAAAAGAGUUGCAAAGUCAUACUCACCUUUCAGCUCUUGUCGGACAAUUAAGGGGUCUUUGCAUACUUCAGCCCUAAUAAUUUGCUUCCUAACAUACAUAUUGCAGUGGUUAUCUAAUUUUAAAUAUCUUUUUGUUUCAACACCUAAUUUUUUAUUUAGAUCUAUCUGUAUGUUUACAGUAUAUUUUGCUCUAUGUUCAUUCUUUGAUUUCAGAACUUCAACCUUUCUGAAGCAUGUUUUCAGGGUUUCUUUUUAGUUUCUUUGGUGGAAUUCUGCUGGUGGUAUUUUGUUUUUUGUCUCUAAAUAUGUUAUUUAGCCAUAGGUUGAUGAAUAUUUUUCUUGGUUGAGAAUUUCAGAAUGGCAUUAUUAUUCUUAACAAAUAAUAUUGUUUAUUUUACUUUUCAUUCUUUCAGAUUUCAAUAUGAUUAAAGGUAAUUUGAUUUUUCUAGUGCUAAUUGAAAUAUUUUUCCCUUCCUGAUUCUUUAUUAUUUCUCUAGGAGAUACGUAGAUGUAGGUUUAUCUCCAUUAUAGCUUGCUUAGCAUGCAUGGAAUUUUUGAAUAUGCGGAUUAGUGUCUUACAAAAGUCUAGAGAACUUUCAGCCAAAAUACCAUCACAUAUUGUCCCUUCCCAGUUCCCUUCUUCUAUGAGAACACUCACUAAACACAUGCUGCACUUUCUCACUGUAUAUUCCAUGUCUCUUCAUGAUUCUGUCCACAUUGUGCAUUUUUUAAAAAUUUUCUGUAAUGCACUCUGAAAUAUUUAUGAACUCUCACCAUGGCCAUGUCUAAUCUGAUGAGUUCAUUUUUGAGUUUUUAAUUUAAAAUACUAUGUUUUUAUACAAACUACUUUUCAAAUUUGCUACAUCAAUUUUUUAGUCUCCUAAAAAUAUAUUCAUUUUUUUUAAAAUUUUUUGAAAGCAAAUGUACUUUAUAAUCUAACAGUGAUAUUUCUACUAAUGAACCUUUGUGGAUCUGUUUGUACUCUUUUUCUGCUUUCCUUUCAAAUGGUGGAAUAUCAUUUCCUUGUGUACUUAGAUGCCUUUGAAUGACAAAUAUUUAUUUUUCUCUGAAAAUUAUUAUGGUGCACUUUUGUGUAUUAGUAAGAAGAAAAUUUGCCAAAGAGAAUUUGAAUUUUUUUGUGAGUCUACUAAAGGCACCACCAUUCUGGGACCACAUUGUAUUAAUUCUUGGCCUAAAGGUGUUUGGACAUGUUUGGACUGCACAGUUAAACAAUUUUUAAAUUAAUUGCUGUAAAUCAUUAAUGAUUGAGUUUCUUUAAAUCUGUCCAAUCUCAAGCCAUUUUUAUUUGCCAUUUCCAGGGAAUGUGAAAUGGGACUAAUUUACCUCUGAUUCUUCUUUAUACUGAGGAUAUAAAUUUUGGUCCUAGCUUUAGGGUAGAGCUCCUGUGUGAUGCUCUAUCUUGGAAAAACCUAUGUAUUUCUUUACUGUCCUAUGUGAUGUAUGACAGUAGGAAUCUGCACUCAUUCAUUUUGCUACAUGUCCGUAGGGCAAAAUUGGUUUCGGUGUUUAGGUAUAUUUUGUCUGCUCCCUGCAUUCCCAUGGUUUUGACCUUAUAUUUUACUUUUUUUGUGUGAACAUACCAAUGCUUCAAUUUUUUUCCAGUAAUAUAAUCAACUAUACUAUAAGAAAGAGAAAACUUUUGAUAAAACACAAAUUUCAUGUUUUCCUACUCUAAUUGGCUUUUACAUAAAAAUACAGGUAAAAUUUAUUUGUACUUUUUUGCUAUUUCUGUUUUGCUAUUCUCUGUUUGUCUAUGUCUUCUCCACAUAGACACAAUUAGGGAAUUUUGUACACUCUUGUGCCAACUGCUUUGAUAGUAACAAAAUGUAUUUCUCAAACUCCUAGCUAUAAAACUCAAGUAUCCACAAUUUAAAUUCUUUUCCCCUCACUUCUAUUAUGUUUCCAGUCUCAAUAGAAAUCGAUGCCAAUCCAGAAAUACAAGCAUUAUUCUAAUACUUCUCAUGCAUUAGAGAUAUAGAUUAAAUUUUCUAGAUCUCCUUAAAUACUAUCAUUUUUCACUACUUGUAUCUUAACUGUUAAGUUCAACAUUUUCUAUAAUAUUAAUAUGUUGUGAAAAUUUCCUUACUUUCUUAUUUGUCCCAGGUUCAAUGUUUUGCAGUCUCUACCUCACCCUGUGAAGCAUAAACAUUGUACAUGCUGUACAAAUAUUACAUAGUUCAUGUGUUUAGAGAUUGCACAAUUUUUAUUUGGUUGACAAUAGCUAAUGUUUUCUUCUUCAUUUUCUAUUUCCUGAUUUUUCUUUAUUUAGUAUAUACUACAUUAUCAUAAAAAUAAUAAUGUUUUACAAACUAAAGCAAAAGCAACCCUAGGAAUAAAAUGCACAAAUAAAAUAUAUAAACAUACAUUUAGAUGUACCAUGUACCAUUGUAAUUUAUUUAGACAUUUAAUUUUAGUACAAUUUUAAUUAAAGUGUGUAUUAUCUAUCAUCGUCUUAGUAUUUUUUAUAUAACAAAUUUUGUAAAUCAAAAAGUCUCAAUGUCAUUAUAAACUAUCUUGGCAGAGGUUGAUCUCCAAGGAAUAAUUUCUCUCCCAAAUUAUGCCAAUCAGAAUUUCACUCUACCAUAAUUCUUUUAAUCAGUUUCAGAGGAAUAAUAAAUUUCAAAAUUGAUCAAGGUACUUCUUGUAGUUCAAGUACCUUUUGACAGGUGUAAAACUGUAGACAGACUGAUACAUACAUAUUCUAAUUGACUCAAAAGUAUAUGGGACCUAUUUUAAAAUCUAGAUUUUAAAAUGUCUUGUCAACAUACACAUGUUCUCCUUGUGAAAUAAUUGCUUUUUAUUCUCUGGAUAGAAUAAUUUAAUCUUUAAACCUUCAAAUCACUGUUAAAAACAAAAUAUUACAUAAGGAUAUGCUUAUACAAAUAAUUCCCAACUAGCUUUUCAAUUCAGAAAUAUAUGUGAAAAAUCAUCAAGCAUCUAAUGGAUUUCAAGGAGAAAUGGGUUAGUAAUUUAUUCCCUAUAUCUCAAUUUUUCCUAGACUCAAGACUUCCUUUAAAAUAAUUGUAGGCAUUUAAGAAACCAUGUAAACUAAAAAGAAGAAAUUAUGACACUGCCGCUUAGGUUUUUUAAAUUUUUGGACAUGAAUCAAUAUAUUUUUUGAAUUUUAUCUUAAUUAGACAUUGUGAGUUCACCAUCUUCCUUUCAGUAUAGCAUCCGAGCUGAUUAUCAUAGAUUACAAGUUCAACUAUCAACUGUGUUCUGAGAGUCUAAAAAAAUAAAUGAAUGUAUUUGUUUGGGUAUUCUUAAAGCAGGAGUGAGGACACAGCAAAAGUGAGACAAGGAAGAGAGAAUAAAAUAAAACAGGAAAGAUAGAAAAGCCAAUACCACAUGUGUUAAGAGGCAAGUUCCUGUGUUAGAUAUCUGGGCUUAAUUUUAUGGGAAGCUAUGUGGAACAUGCCUCAGAAUUACAUCACUGAAUCCAGGGAGAUUCUUCUUAGUUACCCUCACCUCUUCUUCCCACUUCAUGCCCAGUAACAAGCUCCCGUGCUGCUAGAGAAAGUCCUCAGCUAGAAACAGGUGCAAAUUCUGGAGAUGAGACCUUGUAGAGUGUUAAGAAUGUUUUUCUUCCCAGCAGCUACAGGUAAGGAAUAGGGGCUGGGCUAUUAAUACAUCUGCUACAAAUCAAUAAAGCCCUUAUGCUCCUUUUGGUGAUCGACAACGUAUUUAAAAAUAUUACAUGAUCAAGAAGGGCUGCAGAAAGGAGGAAACAGAAACAAACAGCACACCUCUUGGUUUAUAUUUAUUCAUUUCAUCAGUUUCAAGGAAAAUGUGUUGGGAGUUCCUGGCAUAGAGAAUGUCACAAAGACAUGUUUUCAAUAGUAGUGCUAUCCCUAGGGCAGAGAAGACCCAGAGAAAGCCCAAGUGGCUGCUGGAACAAAGUCAGACACCGUGCAACCUGUCCACACUCCUUGGCUCUGCCAUCAUGCUGAAGAUCGCUUUAAAGGACUGGCUUCCCUCACCCCAAAAUUAAAAGAGCACAGACUGAGAAACUGAAUGUAGGAGACAGCAGUGGAUUAUGCUGUUCUCAGGGGUCACCUCAGGUUUGGAAGCAUUCUUUCAAAUUAACCCAUCUCAGGCCAUCUGCAGAGAAGAAAGAUGGUACCUAACUUUUUUUCUUGUCAGCAUUUGGUAGGGGUGUUUUAUUGACCAAAUAGUUUUUUGUAACUAACUAAAUAUAGUAGAUUUUUAAAUUUUAUCAUCAAAAUCUGUAGACAAUUUUUGAUUAAAAUAGACUCCACAUCUAUGUUCUGCUUUUCUUCUUAUUAUUAAUUACAUUGCUGUAUAAAAGAACAAGACUUCAGAAUCAAGAAUAUCUUGUCUCUUGGCAUUGAAUUUAUACAAGGUGCUCUUUCUUUAAUGCUGUCUCAAUGGACAUAUUUUUACUCAUUAAAAAGGAAGAUCGGAAUCUAGUUGUAUGCACUGCUCCAACAUAUUAAUAAUUAAAAUUAGGAGGUAAAUGUGGUCAAAGCUAUAGAAAGACUUGAGAUGUCAUUUAUAUUGAUUACUGUAUAGCAUUCUACAAACAGAAAUUGUUAAAUAAUAGUUUAUAUAAAUAUUUUGUAGCAUUUCAAAUAUUUGAGUGCCUGAAGUUUCUCCUCUUAUAUAGUUCAGAUUAUCAAUUUG
rnacentral:lncRNA from 10 species